AACUAUGCUUAUAUCAACAAAAGAAAAUUCACAAUAACGUUUUGCAUUUCUUUGUAUAAGUAUGAGAAAAUGAAUUGUUAAUAUCUAUUAGUUACAAAAUACUACUACUACUAAUAAUAAUAGUAAUAAAAGGUAAAGUACACCAUCAAUCUGUGAAGGUAGGCACUAGGUAGUGAUCCCCCCAUAGUUGUUAAAGGUGAAAAGGGCAC
rnacentral:lncRNA from 1 species